UACGGAGGGUGCGAGCGUUGUCCGGAAUCAUUGGGCGUAAAGGGCGCGUAGGUGGCUUCUUAAGCGUGCGGUGAAAGCCUGGGGCUCAACCCCGGGUCGGCCGUGCGAACUGGGGGGCUGGAGCACUGUAGAGGCAGGCGGAAUUCCGGGUGUAGCGGUGGAAUGCGUAGAGAUCCGGAAGAACACCGGUGGCGAAGGCGGUUCUCUGGGCCUGUACUGACGCUGAGGAGCGAAAGCGUGGGGAGCGAACAGG
rnacentral:rRNA from 1 species